GAUGAACGCUGGCGGCGUGCCUAAUACAUGCAAGUCGAGCGAACAGACGAGGAGCUUGCUCCUCUGACGUUAGCGGCGGACGGGUGAGUAACACGUGGAUAACCUACCUAUAAGACUGGGAUAACUUCGGGAAACCGGAGCUAAUACCGGAUAAUAUAUUGAACCGCAUGGUUCAAUAGUGAAAGACGGUUUUGCUGUCACUUAUAGAUGGAUCCGCGCCGCAUUCGCUAGUUGGUAAGGUAACGGCUUACCAAGGCAACGAUGCGUAGCCGACCUGAGAGGGUGAUCGGCCACACUGGAACUGAGACUCGGUCCAGACUCCUACGGGAGGCAGCAGUAGGGAAUCUUCCGCGAUGGGCGAAAGCCUGACGGAGCAACGCCGCGUGAGUGAUGAAGGUCUUCGGAUCGUAAAACUCUGUUAUUAGGGAAGAACAAAUGUGUAAGUAACUAUGCACGUCUUGACGGUACCUAAUCAGAAAGCCACGGCUAACUACGUG
rnacentral:rRNA from 1 species